rnacentral:rRNA from 1 species
ACGCUGGCGGCAGGCCUAACACAUGCAAGUCGAGCGGUAGAGAGAAGCUUGCUUCUCUUGAGAGCGGCGGACGGGUGAGUAAUGCCUAGGAAUCUGCCUGGUAGUGGGGGAUAACGUCCGGAAACGGACGCUAAUACCGCAUACGUCCUACGGGAGAAAGCAGGGGACCUUCGGGCCUUGCGCUAUCAGAUGAGCCUAGGUCGGAUUAGCUAGUUGGUGGGGUAAUGGCUCACCAAGGCGACGAUCCGUAACUGGUCUGAGAGGAUGAUCAGUCACACUGGAACUGAGACACGGUCCAGACUCCUACGGGAGGCAGCAGUGGGGAAUAUUGGACAAUGGGCGAAAGCCUGAUCCAGCCAUGCCGCGUGUGUGAAGAAGGUCUUCGGAUUGUAAAGCACUUUAAGUUGGGAGGAAGGGCAGUUACCUAAUACGUGAUUGUUUUGACGUUACCGACAGAAUACGCACCGGCUAACUCUGUGCCAGCAGCCGCGGUAAUACAGAGGGUGCAAGCGUUAAUCGGAAUUACUGGGCGUAAAGCGCGCGUAGGUGGUUCGUUAAGUUGGAUGUGAAAUCCCCGGGCUCAACCUGGGAACUGCAUUCAAAACUGACGAGCUAGAGUAUGGUAGAGGGUGGUGGAAUUUCCUGUGUAGCGGUGAAAUGCGUAGAUAUAGGAAGGAACACCAGUGGCGAAGGCGACCACCUGGACUGAUACUGACACUGAGGUGCGAAAGCGUGGGGAGCAAAC